GAGUUAAUUAAUAAGCUGUGUGUAAAAUUUUGUCCACGGAUAGUGUAAUAAACCAUUAGGUGAACAAGAAUUAGACUUAUUUUGUUCAGCCACUGUGAUUCUAGGGAAUCUUCUGUUAUAGAAGUCAGCAUUAUCUAAUUUAAGGACUGUCAUGAAAAAGCUAGGAAAUUGAGACUUGGUUAUGUUAUCAGGUUGAAAUAAUUUACAAGAUGCUGGCAAAACUGGGAUUAGCCCUCAGAACUGCAGAAAUUACCCAUUGUAAGGGACUUGAAUGAGCAAAGAAAGCAACAGAUUAGGAGAAAUUUUAGAAGAGAUCAAAGAAUGAAAGAAGGGUGAAGGAACUACCUCAUUGAUUAUUUAUUAUCUACAAAGAGUCCUUGAGCAAAAAGUAGGUGGGGCAUUCUUCCUCUCUCUUCCUUCCCCAAAGGGAAUAACUCCUCUGUUCAUUAAAUUAGCUUUGAUGCUGAGGAUGAACUUGGUAAAUACUACAUGAUACCUUACCUUCUCUAAUUUAAUGUAUUCUCUAACUUAAAGGAAGACAAAAGAAAGGAAGCGUAAAGAGAUUUAGUGAUUGAGCAAACCAACUCGUGCCUUUCACAUUUUAUGCCAUUUGCCUACUCCAUUGUCCAUCUAAGUUUCCCUUCCAUUCCAUACAGCAUAAACUCUUUCUGAUAUGAUCCAUAUAUUCUGCAUCUGACUUCAUGGAAAUAAAAAAUAUGUAGGCAUGUAUCUCUAAGUCAUAUCGCUGUCCCUUUGCUAUUUGGUAAGUUGUAAUGUGCUUUUUUUGGGGUGGGGGUUAUUUAUCCAGAGAAGUUUACUGAAGUCAAAAACGAAAAGACAUCUGCCUAUUUUCUGGCUGGACCUUUGUUCCCACAUAUUUCCAUUCUCAGAAACAUACCCUGCUUGACAGACACAGAGAAAAUUGACAUUUUGUGCAAUGUUAAUAGUUCUGAUUUUUUUUUGAAUGGCUUCAUCUAUGUGGACUAAUUAAUGGUAACAUUUUUUAAUAGUUAGAUCAUGAUUACUUAUUGGCGGUGUAUAUUUUGUCAAGUCGGCAUUUGUGAAAAGAUCAGGCCAUGAUCUGACAAGGCUAAUUUAAAUAGUGUUUACAUUGGUGAGCAGUUUGCAAAGGGCAUGUUCACACAAUGUGAUUUGUUUUGUUAACCUAAAGAGAAAAAAAUUGAUGGAGGAGUAAUACCUUGGGAAAUGAAGUUGGGGCAAGAGGGACAGAGGGGUGUGUAAGGGGGGAAAAAAUGGAAAAGCAAAAAAAGAAACUAUGUUUGAAAUACAUCUUUACCUACAUCAUUUUAGUGCAGUGGUGAAAAUAUGUAGCCAAGUGAAGCAUCAGUUAUUUUUCAAGUCUUCAUGAAGUUUAAUCCUUUAGUGGGCUCUGCAAAAUAGAAACCCUGACUUCAGAGGAAUAGUUAGCCCCUUCCCCUUCAUUGGUAUAAGGCUCAGUACAUUUGAUAAACCUGUCAUUACAGCAUAGGGGAUAUUUUGUAUCUGUAUUACUUACAUAUGUUGUAUGACUAUAUUAGUACAAAUGCAGUGACUUGAAGCAACAUAUAUUUAUUAUGUAUAGUUUUUGUGAAUUAGGGGUCCUGCAUUACUUAAAUGGAUCCUCCCCUCCAGGAUCUUCUCUUACAAGGCUGCAAUUAGGGUCUUUCCUGGGGUUGAGGUUUCCUAUGAGCCUGGAUCGGGGAAGGAUGUACUUCCUAAUUUGUACAGUUGAUAGCAGCAUUCAGUUCCUUGUGGACUGUGGAUCUGAAGGUAGCUCUCAAUUGCUUGUCACAUGAACCUUCCCAACACGGCCAUUUACUUCUAUAAAGCCAUCAAGGGAGGGAGUCUCCUGGAAAGAGGGCCAUUAUAAUCUUAUGUAGCUACGUACAUUCUGUCACCUUUGCGAUAUUCUGUGGGUUAGAAGUAAGUCACAGGUUUCAGCCACUUUUGAGGAGAUUAUGCAGGACAGGACAUGAAAAAUGGAAGAAUAACGGCACGUAUUUUUAAUCUAAUCAUAAUCAUGUAAUUUCAGCACCCGAACUCCACAGGUAUAUGUAUGUCCAAAUAAGUCCAGAGUCAUAAACUGAUUAGCCAAAUAUCACCCAGUGAGCUAACAAACAACAGUAGUAGAAUCCAGUGUUCAUCAAGCAAUCUAAAACCCUUUUUAUUUUGUCUUAUUUAUUUGGCUAUGACCACUUCUUAAAUUAUUUUUUGGAAUAAGGGAUGAUCAUUCAUUCAUUGAAGAAAUAGAUACUGAAUGCCUGCCACGUGCCAAGCACUAUUCCAGUCCUUUCAACAAAUAGCACUAUUCCAUGACUUGUUAGCCUUCACCUUUGCAUGUUUACUUCCUCAGUACCUGACUUGCUAACAUUAAUGUGUAUUAUUCAUCCAUUUGUUGUCUUUUCACUCUUAGAUGUAAGCUUCAGGGGAUCAGGGACUUGUCUUUUGUAUUGCUUUGUUGACAGGACUGGAAGGGUGCUUGGUAUGUUUACUGAGGAAGUAAACAUACCAAGGUGAAGGCUAACGAAUCAUGGAAUAGAGUUAUUUUAGAUGGAUGUCCAUGGAAGACAUCUGAUAGUUUGAUGGUAAAGUAGAGAAGUGAGUGCAUUGAAUGGUGCCCCAUAUGGCGGUGAUCCAAGAUAAUGACAAAUGAAAAGGACCUGGUCUCAAGUAUAUAAGGGAAGCAGAUUUUACCUGUCUUCUUAGAUAGACUUGGAUGUGCUAUUAGAGGUUAAUGUCUUCUUUUGACACAGAAGUUAAAUGUCAUUUCCAACGUCAGACAGCAAAGAGAUGCCAUAGAAGAUUUAAACUUGCAUAAUUGAUUCCAAAAUCAGGGUCCAUGCCCCAGGCAAGUGAUUACGUCUCUGAGGUUUCAGAACCAUUUUUCAAAUAUAUUUUAUGCAUCAUAAAUAAAAUGAAUAAAGGUGGAGCUGCUGUGCAUGAUGCAGAAGGUAGGCAGGAGAUGUCCAGGACUCAUCUGACCUAACUACUCAUUCCAGAGUUCCCCCUUUCCAGUGUAGCAGCCCCUUAAGGUUUAAACUGAAGAGCUCAGUUUAUUAGCCACCCUGUUAGACCUUUCCUGUUAGACCCUCUGGUGAGCAUGACCAAACGUCUCAGCAGUGUGUUCUGUAUGAGGCUAACUUAUUCACGGUUUGACAAGGUCAUUACAAAUUUUGUCUCUCUUGAUAGGAACUGGUAUCCUCUUUUGAUUUUCUCUCUGAUUUAGGGAUGAUCAGCAGGCUGAAAGACAGAUGGACUUAGUUAAAUUGGCUUCAGGGUGGAAAGGACCCCAUUUAAUCGGGCAAAAAGACAUCUGCCAUAAUUGGUCAAGUCUAAAGCCAAUAAAAGAGCAAGGAAAGAUUUUUGGCAAAAAUAAAGUCAGGAGACCACAAGAGGCUCUUAGCAUGCAACGGAGAUUAUCUUAUACUCAAUGUAAGUUAUAAAAAAACACCAGGCAAGCUGGAGGUCUAGGGAGCUGUGGCUUAGCUAUGUCUUCCCCAAUUUAAAAUAAAAAUGUGUAGGACCCAGUGCAAACCAAUAUUCUUGACAUGAAUGAGGCACUAUUAAGAUAAAUUUCUACAGAUUGCAGAAUAAAAACUUUGCCCUUAAGGAAAAAAUAGCUGGAGAAAAAGAGGCCAAGGAGGGGUUAAGACGGAUUAUGAUGAUCAAUUAUUAAUACAGAUGAGCCAAGGCCAGCUGAUGCUAUCACACUUCAUCAUUCAAAUUCUCAUUAUUGGAAUAUACAACAGUAAGUUACUGCAAUGGUACUUUCCCUGCUGUGGUUAAGAGACGUUAAUUUCUAAGGCGCCCCACAAGUGACAGUGAGCUUCAGAGGGGCUCAGUGCUAAAUGAUUGGAUUGUAAUUAUUCUGAAAGGGCUUUCAUCAUCAUUACCCAGCAUUCUGCAGAUGCAGCGUGUUUGAAAAUAAACUAUGGCCAAACGAGAGCCACAUCAUUUCAGAUUUGAAACAUCGAGCCUCUGGUUUGCUGAUAUAUUUUUGUGGAUGCAAGUGGAGACGAACACAAAUGUACUCAGUCUGGCAUAUAUCAUCUUAAAGUUGUUUAGCUAAUGCAUCCACAGCAGUGCAGACAAGGAGAUCUGUAUGCACACUUCUGAAGCCAUGAUCAAUGCAGUGGAGGAGAACUUUGACUCAUUCUUUGCUUCAUUCAUUUCAUUCAUUCCUGCAAACCUUAGGUUAAGCACCCUGCAUUGUGUUGUUACAACAAUAAAGAAGGAGAAUAAAACCCUGCCCCAGAGGCGUUCCCUAUCCAAAGAGUUCUUCCAGUAAAUGUUUGGAUUCUCCUCUUGUUUACACCCCAACAGGACAAGCUAAUUGUCUGUUUACUUUGCCAGUGUGCCUUAAUUAUAAGGCUUUCAAGGCCAUUAGCUGAUGAGGCUGUUUACAUGUCACAAGUAGGUUUGAAUUUCACCUCUCUGGCCCUUCAUUCUUCUUGCCCUCCAAGAGGCUCAGGUGGGAGGACAAGGGGGCAGGGCAACAGGAUAAAAAGAAAGUAAAGCAAGUGCUCCUGAGAAACUGUCAGUAGCAUUGCAUCAUAUCACAGGGAGAGUUCUAAAAUGUCAGUUUUCAUAAGAAAACAUACGUUCAUGUGCUAUGAUGAUCAGAGUUUUGCAGUUUGCAAUCUAAUUACAGGAUAAUGGGCACAAGAGCUGAUUAACUCUAGCACAGAGUAAAUUGUCAAAGAGAGGCCCAGUGAAUGAGGCCAGCGUUAAAUACUAGAGCCAUUCCAGGAAGGGUCAUGUCAGUGUGGGGACAUGGAGCUCCUUUGUGACAGUAGGGAGGUGAAAUGAGAAUUAGGUAGGGAGAAUUGAAAUAGAUGGAAGGUUCUGGAAAAAGUAUCAUCCUAGGAGUUUAUUUCCUAAUUCCCGUUUCACCUUUGUCUUCAAUACUACUCCCUUCUCUUCUCAUUCUAAUUUCACAGUAUCCCUUGGGACUGUCUCUUUCAUGCCAUCUCUCUCUCACCAUCUUUGUACAUACAGGUCAUUGUCUUAAUUAAAAUCACCUCCUAGUGGGCUUCUUUUCUCUUAACUCUUUAUCUCCUUGAUCUUUCUGCUACAAUCUUAACAUUGUAGCCAAAUCUUUUAAAAAUGUAAUCAAGAUCACAUCAGUCUUCCACUUAAACCUUCCCAUUGCCAAUAAAUCCCGUUUGCUUGUCAUGGCUGGCAGACAUGACCUGAUCUGGUCCCCUCCCAGUCUCUCCAAACACAGUUCCUGCCAUUGACCUUUUCCUGCAUACAUUUCUGACCUAUUGGCAUCCGCUUCAUUCCCCUAACUCACAAGGUCUUCCCCAUAUCAAAGCCUUUGUCCUGGCUGGAUAAUAUUAAGUUUGUAAUGCCCUAUGUAAACUGAGACUUAAAUACAUCAUGGGCGUCAGAAUUGCUGGGCAUAUUUUGAAAUAAUUAUACAGGUGCAAAUUAUAUCUACAUUGUACCCCACAGGGAGUUUUUGAAGGCAUGAUAAAUGACUCAGCUAUGUUACCCAACUUCUAUUUAGAAAUUCUAGAGAUCCUCACAGGAUACUUUCUCUCUCAUACUUUCUCACUCUUUCAACCAUGAAAUAGUUUAUUAUUAUCAAAAGUGUACAGAUGAGGAAACUGUGGUCCAGAAAGAUGAGGUUCCUUUUCCAAGAUCAUGUGCCUAAGGUAGUGGCAGAAUCAGACUUUGAACUUAGGUUUUCUGACUUGAUUUCUUGCUUGAGUCUAUACUACAAAUACUGGAGAAAAGUGUUCCUUCUUAUGUAACCUGAAAUUAUAGAGACACUCAACUUCCGAUGUCUCUGAUAAAAUUUCAUUUCUAGCAGAGUAUGUUUUCAGGCCUUUUUACUAUAAUGUAAGAUUGGAUAAGAGAACACAACCAGGAUUCCUUUAGUAGUUACUCUCACCUGGUGAUUGUGAUGGUUGUGAGUCAACUGGAGCGUAUAAAUAGUAUCAGUCGGCCUUUUAUUCACUAUCAGAUGCUAUUUCAAUCUCUUUGGUCUCUGAGUGUUAUUGCUUUAAGUGUGGAUUUUCAACAUGACUCAUUAAGUGGUUAUAUUAUCCUAAAGUACUGGAAGAAUACAUCAGAAGUAAGUAUUAAGCAGUUGGGGCUGUGAAUUGGGAUGCAAGAUGGUUCUUAUACUGAAAUCAUUACUAUAAACUCCUUUGACAAGUUCUAAUAGCUGUUAGAUGCUGUUUUAGGUAAUAGCUCAAAGGGAAAGAAUAUUUAAGUCGAGGCUUUUUUUUUCUUUAAAAGAAACUCAUUAGCUAUGCUAGAUGAGCUAGUCUACAAGCUAGAUAAAAAUCUAAUAGGACUAAACUUGCAUGUGAACAUUAGCAAAGUAGCAAAGUGAUAGUGAUUGGUUAGUAUUACCUAUUUACCUCAUUAGUGGGAGGUAAUCCAGGAGGAUUAGGGAGGGAUCCAAUUGUGCUGGCUCAUUUGCAAGUUAUGGCCCAAAUAGAACCACUAUGGACAUUAUGAGUUGACUCUCUUUUGUUCUACUCCUAACUUACUAUAAUAUUCUGAGAGUAUCCAUUAAGGCCAGGAAUUGACCUUCAGCAUUUAAUUGAUAAGCUCAAUGUGUCUCUUUCCAACCCAUUAGGUUAAUAUCUAGAAUAUUUUCCAAAAGAGCCCAACAGAACAGGAAAACUAUAGAUGGCAGCAAUUAGUUCUUCGGUGUAGGGGAAUUUAUUCUCUCUAAAUUUAUUAUUUAGUGAGACCAGUGGUAGUUCAGGGAAACAAACAUUGAAAGUAUGAUUUUUUUGUGUCUUUGACUGUCCUGAAAGAUCCAGUUCUUUUAGAGAUCAUUCUUUUCAUAUGCAUCAGAUAGAUUCCCCUUCUUCCAAGUUCACUGUAG
rnacentral:lncRNA from 1 species